rnacentral:tRNA from 1 species
GCAGUCGUGGCUGAGUGGUUAAAGGGGUGGACUAGAAAUCCUUGGGGUGCCCCCCACAGGUUCGAAUCCUGUCGACUGCG